UUAAAGAAAGCGUAAUAGCUCACUGGUCGAGUCGGCCUGCGCGGAAGAUGUAACGGGGCUAAACCAUGCACCGAAGCUGCGGCAGCGACGCUGAUGCGUUGUUGGGUAGGGGAGCGUUCUGUAAGCCUGUGAAGGUGUGCUGUGAGGCAUGCUGGAGGUAUCAGAAGUGUGAAUGCUGACAUAAGUAACGAUAAAGCGGGUGAAAAGCCCGCUCGCCGGAAGACCAAGGGUUCCUGUCCAACGUUAAUCGGGGCAGGGUGAGUCGACCCCUAAGGCGAGGCCGAAAGGCGUAGUCGAUGGGAAACAGG
rnacentral:rRNA from 1 species